rnacentral:rRNA from 1 species
ACGAACGCUGGCGGCGUGCCUAAUACAUGCAAGUAGAACGCUGAAGAGAGGAGCUUGCUCUUCUUGGAUGAGUUGCGAACGGGUGAGUAACGCGUAGGUAACCUGCCUUGUAGCGGGGGAUAACUAUUGGAAACGAUAGCUAAUACCGCAUAACAAUGGAUGACCCAUGUCAUUUAUUUGAAAGGGGCAAAUGCUCCACUACAAGAUGGACCUGCGUUGUAUUAGCUAGUAGGUGAGGUAACGGCUCACCUAGGCGACGAUACAUAGCCGACCUGAGAGGGUGAUCGGCCACACUGGGACUGAGACACGGCCCAGACUCCUACGGGAGGCAGCAGUAGGGAAUCUUCGGCAAUGGGGGCAACCCUGACCGAGCAACGCCGCGUGAGUGAAGAAGGUUUUCGGAUCGUAAAGCUCUGUUGUAAGUCAAGAACGAGUGUGAGAGUGGAAAGUUCACACUGUGACGGUAGCUUACCAGAAAGGGACGGCUAACUACGUGCCAGCAGCCGCGGUAAUACGUAGGUCCCGAGCGUUGUCCGGAUUUAUUGGGCGUAAAGCGAGCGCAGGCGGUUUGAUAAGUCUGAAGUUAAAGGCUGUGGCUCAACCAUAGUUCGCUUUGGAAACUGUCAAACUUGAGUGCAGAAGGGGAGAGUGGAAUUCCAUGUGUAGCGGUGAAAUGCGUAGAUAUAUGGAGGAACACCGGUGGCGAAAGCGGCUCUCUGGUCUGUAACUGACGCUGAGGCUCGAAAGCGUGGGGAGCGAACAGGAUUAGAUACCCUGGUAGUCCACGCCGUAAACGAUGAGUGCUAGGUGUUGGAUCCUUUCCGGGAUUCAGUGCCGCAGCUAACGCAUUAAGCACUCCGCCUGGGGAGUACGACCGCAAGGUUGAAACUCAAAGGAAUUGACGGGGGCCCGCACAAGCGGUGGAGCAUGUGGUUUAAUUCGAAGCAACGCGAAGAACCUUACCAGGUCUUGACAUCCCGAUGCUAUUUCUAGAGAUAGGAAGUUACUUCGGUACAUCGGUGACAGGUGGUGCAUGGUUGUCGUCAGCUCGUGUCGUGAGAUGUUGGGUUAAGUCCCGCAACGAGCGCAACCCCUAUUGUUAGUUGCCAUCAUUCAGUUGGGCACUCUAGCGAGACUGCCGGUAAUAAACCGGAGGAAGGUGGGGAUGACGUCAAAUCAUCAUGCCCCUUAUGACUUGGGCUACACACGUGCUACAAUGGUUGGUACAACGAGUUGCGAGUCGGUGACGGCAAGCUAAUCUCUUAAAGCCAAUCUCAGUUCGGAUUGUAGGCUGCAACUCGCCUACAUGAAGUCGGAAUCGCUAGUAAUCGCGGAUCAGCACGCCGCGGUGAAUACGUUCCCGGGCCUUGUACACACCGCCCGUCACACCACGAGAGUUUGUAACACCCGAAGUCGGUGAGGUAACCUUUUGGAGCCAGCCGCCUAAGGUGGGAUAGAUGAUUGGGGUG